rnacentral:tRNA from 1 species
GGGCCCGAGCGGCCAAAGGGAGCAGACUGUAAAUCUGCCGUCAUCGACUUCGAAGGUUCGAAUCCUUCCCCCACCA